GAUGAACGCUGGCGGCGUGCCUAAUACAUGCAAGUCGAGCGAACAGACGAGGAGCUUGCUCCUCUGACGUUAGCGGCGGACGGGUGAGUAACAUGUGUAUAACCUACCUAUAUGACUGGGAUAACUUCGGGAAACCGGAGCCUAUACCGGAUAAUAUACUGAACCGCAUGGUUGAAUAGUUAAAGACGUUUUUUCUGUCACUUAUAGAUGGAUUCGGGCCGCAUUAGCUAGUUGGUACGGUAACGGCUUACCAAGGCGACGAUGCGUAGCCGACCUGAGAGGGUGAUCGGCCACACUGGAACUGAGACACGGUCCAGACUCCUACGGGAGGCAGCAGUAGGGAAUCUUCCGCAAUGGGCGAAAGCCUGACGGAGCAACGCCGCGUGAGUGAUGAAGGUCUUCGGAUCGUAAAACUCUGUUAUUAGGGAAGAAAAAAUGUGUAAGUAAAUAUGCAGGUCUUGACGGUACCUGAUCAGAAAGCAACGGCUAACUACGUG
rnacentral:rRNA from 1 species